rnacentral:rRNA from 1 species
GUAGUCCACGCCGUAAACGAUGUCUACUAGCCGUUGGGAGACUUGAUUUCUUAGUGGCGCAGCUAACGCAAUAAGUAGACCGCCUGGGGAGUACGGCCGCAAGGUUAAAACUCAAAUGAAUUGACGGGGGCCCGCACAAGCGGUGGAGCAUGUGGUUUAAUUCGAUGCAACGCGAAGAACCUUACCAGGUCUUGACAUCCAGAGAACUUGGCAGAGAUGCCUUGGUGCCUUCGGGAGCUCUGAGACAGGUGCUGCAUGGCUGUCGUCAGCUCGUGUCGUGAGAUGUUGGGUUAAGUCCCGUAACGAGCGCAACCCUUGUCCUUAGUUGCCAGCGAGUAAUGUCGGGAACUCUAAGGAGACUGCCGGUGACAAACCGGA